AAUACAUGCAAGUCGAGCGGAAUGAUGAAGAAGCUUGCUUCUUCUGAUUUUAGCGGCGGACGGGUGAGUAACACGUGGCAACCUACCUUGUAGAUUGGGAUAACUCCGGGAAACCGGGGCUAAUACCGAAUAAUCCAUUUUGCUUCAUGGCGAGAUGUUGAAAGACGGUUUCGGCUGUCACUACAAGAUGGGCCCGCGGCGCAUUAGCUAGUUGGUAGGGUAAUGGCCUACCAAGGCGACGAUGCGUAGCCGACCUGAGAGGGUGAUCGGCCACACUGGGACUGAGACACGGCCCAGACUCCUACGGGAGGCAGCAGUAGGGAAUCUUCCACAAUGGACGAAAGUCUGAUGGAGCAACGCCGCGUGAGUGAAGAAGGUUUUCGGAUCGUAAAACUACUGUUGUAAGGGAAGAACACGUACGAGAGUAACUGCUCGUACCUUGACGGUACCUUAUUAGAAAGCCACGGCUAACUACGUG
rnacentral:rRNA from 1 species